rnacentral:sRNA from 1 species
GGGGGCGUAAUGGUUUCGACAGGGAUUAUGCACCUGGGUAAGCGGGUAGUGGCGCGGACACACUUUAAAAUCCGUAAACUUUAAAUUAAACGACAACAAUAAAGUUGCCUUAGCAGCCUAAUUUAGGCUGCCGUCCGACCAAAGAGUACCGCGGCUUUGCGAGGGCGUCGAUUAGCGGUCAAUCUGAAUCGCAGGUUUCCCGUCCUGUGGUCAGAAUUUAAAGGGAUACCUUUAUGCGAGCUUUGAAGCUUUAGGCGCAUAAAGGGAAGGCUUUAAAGCUUCUGCACCCGGAGAAAUCCCAGAGAAUUGAUUUUUGGACACGGGUUCGAUUCCCGUCGCCUCCACCA